UACAGAGGGGCAAGCGUUAUUCGGAAUUAUUGGGCGUAAAGGGCGCGUAGGCGGCUUUGCAAGUGGCGGGUGAAAUCCCUCGGCUUAACCGAGGAACUGCCUGCCAGACUGUGAGGCUUGAGACCGGGAGAGGUGGAGUGGAAUUCCCAGUGUAGCGGUGAAAUGCGUAGAUAUUGGGAGGAACACCAGUGGCGAAGGCGGCUCACUGGACCGGAACUGAC
rnacentral:rRNA from 1 species